UACGUAGGGUGCAGGCGUUAAUCGGAAUUACUGGGCGUAAAGCGUGCGCAGGCGGUUUCUUAAGUCAGAUGUGAAAGCCCCGGGCUUAACCUGGGAACUGCGUUUGAAACUGGGAGACUUGAGUGCCGGAGGGGAGAGUGGAAUUCCUGGUGUAGCGGUGAAAUGCGUAGAUAUCAGGAGGAAUACCGGUGGCGAAAGCGACUCUCUGGACGGCAACUGACGCUGAGGCACGAAAGCGUGGGGAGCAAACAGG
rnacentral:rRNA from 1 species